rnacentral:rRNA from 1 species
AACGAACGCUGGCGGCAGGCCUAACACAUGCAAGUCGAACGCUCCGCAAGGGAGUGGCGCACGGGUGAGUAACACGUGGGAACCUACCUUCUGGUACGGAACAACCAAGGGAAACUUUGGCUAAGACCGUAUACGACCUCCGGGUGAAAGAUUGAUCGCCGGAGGAGGGGCCCGCGUCCGAUUAGGUAGUUGGUGAGGUAACGGCUCACCAAGCCUUCGAUCGGUAGCUGGUCUGAGAGGAUGACCAGCCACACUGGACUGAGACACGGCCCAGACUCCUACGGGAGGCAGCAGUGGGAAUAUUGGACAAUGGGCGCAAGCCUGAUCCAGCCAUGCCGCGUGAGUGAUGAAGGCC